rnacentral:rRNA from 3 species
UUAAGCGACUAAGCGUACACGGUGGAUGCCCUGGCAGUCAGAGGCGAUGAAGGACGUGCUAAUCUGCGAUAAGCGUCGGUGAGGUGAUAUGAACCGUUAUAACCGGCGAUUUCCGAAUGGGGAAACCCAGUGUGAUUCGUCACACUAUCAUUAACUGAAUCCAUAGGUUAAUGAGGCGAACCGGGGGAACUGAAACAUCUAAGUACCCCGAGGAAAAGAAAUCAACCGAGAUUCCCCCAGUAGCGGCGAGCGAACGGGGAGGAGCCCAGAGCCUGAAUCAGUGUGUGUGUUAGUGGAAGCGUCUGGAAAGGCGUGCGAUACAGGGUGACAGCCCCGUACACAAAAAUGCACAUAUUGUGAGCUCGAUGAGUAGGGCGGGACACGUGGUAUCCUGUCUGAAUAUGGGGGGACCAUCCUCCAAGGCUAAAUACUCCUGACUGACCGAUAGUGAACCAGUACCGUGAGGGAAAGGCGAAAAGAACCCCGGCGAGGGGAGUGAAAAAGAACCUGAAACCGUGUACGUACAAGCAGUGGGAGCCUCUUAAUGGGGUGACUGCGUACCUUUUGUAUAAUGGGUCAGCGACUUAUAUUCUGUAGCAAGGUUAACCGAAUAGGGGAGCCGAAGGGAAACCGAGUCUUAACUGGGCGUUAAGUUGCAGGGUAUAGACCCGAAACCCGGUGAUCUAGCCAUGGGCAGGUUGAAGGUUGGGUAACACUAACUGGAGGACCGAACCGACUAAUGUUGAAAAAUUAGCGGAUGACUUGUGGCUGGGGGUGAAAGGCCAAUCAAACCGGGAGAUAGCUGGUUCUCCCCGAAAGCUAUUUAGGUAGCGCCUCGUGAAUUCAUCUCCGGGGGUAGAGCACUGUUUCGGCAAGGGGGUCAUCCCGACUUACCAACCCGAUGCAAACUGCGAAUACCGGAGAAUGUUAUCACGGGAGACACACGGCGGGUGCUAACGUCCGUCGUGAAGAGGGAAACAACCCAGACCGCCAGCUAAGGUCCCAAAGUCAUGGUUAAGUGGGAAACGAUGUGGGAAGGCCCAGACAGCCAGGAUGUUGGCUUAGAAGCAGCCAUCAUUUAAAGAAAGCGUAAUAGCUCACUGGUCGAGUCGGCCUGCGCGGAAGAUGUAACGGGGCUAAACCAUGCACCGAAGCUGCGGCAGCGACACUAUGUGUUGUUGGGUAGGGGAGCGUUCUGUAAGCCUGUGAAGGUGGCCUGUGAGGGUUGCUGGAGGUAUCAGAAGUGCGAAUGCUGACAUAAGUAACGAUAAAGCGGGUGAAAAACCCGCUCGCCGGAAGACCAAGGGUUCCUGUCCAACGUUAAUCGGGGCAGGGUGAGUCGACCCCUAAGGCGAGGCCGAAAGGCGUAGUCGAUGGGAAACAGGUUAAUAUUCCUGUACUUGGUGUUACUGCGAAGGGGGGACGGAGAAGGCUAUGUUGGCCGGGCGACGGUUGUCCCGGUUUAAGCGUGUAGGCUGGUUUUCCAGGCAAAUCCGGAAAAUCAAGGCUGAGGCGUGAUGACGAGGCACUACGGUGCUGAAGCGACAAAUGCCCUGCUUCCAGGAAAAGCCUCUAAGCAUCAGGUAACAUCAAAUCGUACCCCAAACCGACACAGGUGGUCAGGUAGAGAAUACCAAGGCGCUUGAGAGAACUCGGGUGAAGGAACUAGGCAAAAUGGUGCCGUAACUUCGGGAGAAGGCACGCUGAUAUGUAGGUGAAGCGACUUGCUCGUGGAGCUGAAAUCAGUCGAAGAUACCAGCUGGCUGCAACUGUUUAUUAAAAACACAGCACUGUGCAAACACGAAAGUGGACGUAUACGGUGUGACGCCUGCCCGGUGCCGGAAGGUUAAUUGAUGGGGUUAGCGGUAACGCGAAGCUCUUGAUCGAAGCCCCGGUAAACGGCGGCCGUAACUAUAACGGUCCUAAGGUAGCGAAAUUCCUUGUCGGGUAAGUUCCGACCUGCACGAAUGGCGUAAUGAUGGCCAGGCUGUCUCCACCCGAGACUCAGUGAAAUUGAACUCGCUGUGAAGAUGCAGUGUACCCGCGGCAAGACGGAAAGACCCCGUGAACCUUUACUAUAGCUUGACACUGAACAUUGAGCCUUGAUGUGUAGGAUAGGUGGGAGGCUUUGAAGUGUGGACGCCAGUCUGCAUGGAGCCGACCUUGAAAUACCACCCUUUAAUGUUUGAUGUUCUAACGUGGGCCCCUUACCGGGGUUGCGGACAGUGUCUGGUGGGUAGUUUGACUGGGGCGGUCUCCUCCUAAAGAGUAACGGAGGAGCACGAAGGUUGGCUAAUCCUGGUCGGACAUCAGGAGGUUAGUGCAAUGGCAUAAGCCAGCUUGACUGCGAGCGUGACGGCGCGAGCAGGUGCGAAAGCAGGUCAUAGUGAUCCGGUGGUUCUGAAUGGAAGGGCCAUCGCUCAACGGAUAAAAGGUACUCCGGGGAUAACAGGCUGAUACCGCCCAAGAGUUCAUAUCGACGGCGGUGUUUGGCACCUCGAUGUCGGCUCAUCACAUCCUGGGGCUGAAGUAGGUCCCAAGGGUAUGGCUGUUCGCCAUUUAAAGUGGUACGCGAGCUGGGUUUAGAACGUCGUGAGACAGUUCGGUCCCUAUCUGCCGUGGGCGCUGGAGAACUGAGGGGGGCUGCUCCUAGUACGAGAGGACCGGAGUGGACGCAUCACUGGUGUUCGGGUUGUCAUGCCAAUGGCACUGCCCGGUAGCUAAAUGCGGAAGAGAUAAGUGCUGAAAGCAUCUAAGCACGAAACUUGCCCCGAGAUGAGUUCUCCCUGACUCCUUGAGAGUCCUGAAGGAACGUUGAAGACGACGACGUUGAUAGGCCGGGUGUGUAAGCGCAGCGAUGCGUUGAGCUAACCGGUACUAAUGAACCGUGAGGCUUAACCUU